rnacentral:lncRNA from 1 species
GAUACUACCUCCACCGCUUUGCAAUGGGUUCUGGCAAAUUUGGUGAAAUACCCUCAUAUUCAAGAUAAGUUAUUUCGUGAAAUUAAAGGGGUUGUGGGAGAUGGAGAGGAAAUCAAAGAAGAUGAUUUACAAAAGAUGCCUUAUCUGAAAGCAGUGAUAUUGGAAGGGCUAAGAAGGCACCCACCAGGGCAUUUUGUGCUUCCUCAUUGUGUGACAGAAGACACUGUGCUGGGAGACUAUUUGGUUCCCAAGAAUGGAACUAUCAAUUUCAUGGUGGCAGAGAUGGGAUGGGAUCCAAAGGUGUGGGAGGAUCCCAUGGCAUUUAAGCCAGAGAGGUUCAUGAGAAAUGAACAAGUGUUUGAUAUAACAGGGAGUAGGGAAAUCAAGAUGAUGCCUUUCGGUGUCGGGAGAAGAAUUUGUCCUGGAUUUGGCUUAGCCCUUCUUCAUCUGGAGUAUUUUGUGGCAAAUUUGAUCUGGAAAUUUGAAUGGAAGGCAAUGGAUGGAGAUGAGAUCAGCUUGGAAGAGAAGCAAGAGUUCACAGUGGUGAUGAAGACUCCAUUGAUGGCCCACAUUUCACCAAGGAAAGAGAUA